CCUACGGGAGGCUGCAGUGGGGAAUAUUGCACAAUGGGCGCAAGCCUGAUGCAGCCAUGCCGCGUGUGUGAAGAAGGCCUUCGGGUUGUAAAGCACUUUCAGCGGGGAGGAAGGCGUUAAGGUUAAUAACCUUGUCGAUUGACGUUACCCGCAGAGGAAGCACCGGCUAACUCCGUGCCAGCAGCCGCGGUAAUACGGAGGGUGCAAGCGUUAAUCGGAAUUACUGGGCGUAAAGCGCACGCAGGCGGUCUGUCAAGUCGGAUGUGAAAUCCCCGGGCUCAACCUGGGAACUGCAUUCGAAACUGGCAGGCUAGAGUCUUGUAGAGGGGGUAGAAUUCCAGGUGUAGCGGUGAGAUGCGUAGAGAUCUGGAGGAAUACCGGUGGCGAAGGCGGCCCCCUGGACAAAGACUGACGCUCAGGUGCGAAAGCGUGGGGAGCAAACAGGAUUAGAUACCCCGGUAGUC
rnacentral:rRNA from 1 species